rnacentral:rRNA from 1 species
UAUGGUUGUUAUAUAAGUCUAGCCUGCCCACUGAUUUAGUUUAAGGGCCGCGGUAUAUUGACCGUGCGAAGGUAGCAUAAUCAUUAGUCUUUUAAUUGAAGGCUUGUAUGAAUGGUUGGACAAAAAGUAAGCUGUCUCAAUUAUAAUAAUUGAAUUUAACUUUUAAGUGAAAAGGCUUAAAUAAAUUAAGGGGACGAUAAGACCCUAUAAAGCUUGACAAUAAUUUAAUUAUACUAUCAAUUGUUAGUAUAACUUGGUUUUAAUUAAUAUUUGUUGCGUUGGGGCGACGAGAAUAUAAUAGGUAACUGUUCUUAAAUAUUUAAUAACAAAUAUAAUUGGAAAUUAGUAUGAUCCUCUAUUAGCGAUUAAAAGAUUAAGUUACUUUAGGGAUAACAGCGUAAUCUUCUUUGAGAGUCCCUAUCGACAAGAAGGUUUGCGACCUCGAUGUUGAAUUAAGGUAUCCUUAUGAUGCAGCAGUUAUAAAGGAAGGUCUGUUCGACCUUUAAAUCCUUAC